rnacentral:rRNA from 1 species
GACGAACGCUGGCGGCGUGCCUAAUACAUGCAAGUCGAACGAGAGCGACCGGUGCUUGCACUGGUCAAUCUAGCGGCGAACGGGUGAGUAACACGUGGGUAACCUGCCUAUCAGAGGGGGAUAACAUCCGGAAACGGAUGCUAAAACCGCAUAGGUCUUCGAACCGCAUGGUUUGAAGAGGAAAAGAGGUGCAAGCUUCUGCUGAUGGAUGGACCCGCGGUGCAUUAGCUAGUUGGUGAGGUAACGGCUCACCAAGGCCGUGAUGCAUAGCCGACCUGAGGGGGUGAACGGCCACAUUGGGACUGAGACACGGCCCAAACUCCUACGGGAGGCAGCAGUAGGGAAUCUUCCGCAAUGGACGCAAGUCUGACGGAGCAACGCCGCGUGAGUGAAGAAGGUUUUCGGAUCGUAAAACUCUGUUGUUAGAGAAGAACAAGUGCUAGAGUAACUGUUAGCGCCUUGACGGUAUCUAACCAGAAAGCCACGGCUAACUACGUG